AUUUAUAUAGUUUACAUAAAACACUUCAUUUUCAAUGAAGAAAAGAAUAUUUAUUCUAUAAAUA
rnacentral:tRNA from 1 species